GUGACCUGCGGAGGAUCAUUAUUGAUUGCGAAUGGUUGUCUGCAGUGCUGGCCAGGUCACUCUGGCAAGUGCACGUAGACAGCUUUCAUCCACUACCCCUGUGAACCUUUGGCCUCUUGCUAGCUUCGGCCGGCGGAGGAUUUUACACAUACUCGCAUGUAAUGAAAUUAUUGUUGUGCACAAGCACUACUAUACAACUUUCAACAACGGAUCUCUUGGCUCUCGCAUCGAUGAAGAACGCAGCGAAAUGCGAUAAGUAAUGUGAAUUGCAGAAUUCAGUGAAUCAUCGAAUCUUUGAACGCACCUUGCACCCUUUGGUAUUCCGAAGGGUAUGCUCGUUUGAGUGUCAUUGUACUCUCACACUUCCGAUUGUUUGGAUCGGGAGCGGUGGACUUGGGUGUUGCUGCUUUACUGUGGCUCACCUUAAAUGCAUUAGUGCAACUCUCGGUUGGACAUAGUACGGCGUGAUAAGUGUCUUCGCCGGCACCUCACAGAGGGUGGCUGAUCGGGAGCUCUGUGCUUCAAACCGUCUUCGGACAACAACUGACAACUUGACCUCAAAUCGAGUAGGACUACCCGCUGAACUUAA
rnacentral:rRNA from 1 species